GCCGCAGUUUGCUCAAGUGUUCUCCCAAAGCUGUGUGUCUCUGCUGAUAGAUGAGUGCAUCUGCAAGUUUCAAGACGUGUGGUUUCUGUGGGUGGAGUGGGAUGAGUGUGGUGGGCUGAAAGAAGAGAAGAAGAAACGGUUUUCAGCAUCAAUAAAGUUUCUGGUGCCUCAUGAAUAUUUGUUCUCUCGCAGGUUCUGCUUAUUAAACAGUGAUGUCAGGAGGAGCUCUGCAGGAUGAGAAGGUUAUUUUGUGACUGGACACCUUGAGUCACUUGGGAAUUAGAACAGCCAAUCCUUCCUUGAAAAGCAGAGUUUCUUUUCCUGAUCCAGAAACAUUUAAGUCACCGACAAAGUUUGUAGCAACGUCACAUCCUCCUGCCUGUCGUACAUCUGUCUCAUGAGGAGCAUGCAGCUGCUGAACUGAUCUUCCCACAAUGUCUAGGCCCAAAGUUCAUUCAGCACUCCAUCAGAAAACUGAGAAAAAAACCCCAAACUGAUUGUGUUUUAUGCAGCCAGACACUGGCCCUGGCCCCUGGCUGAUGCAAAAAUCCCAGUCCUGCUAAUCACCUGCACUGCACCUGAAGGAG